GAUGAACGCUGGCGGCGUGCCUAAUACAUGCAAGUCGAGCGAACAGACGAGGAGCUUUCUCCUCUGACGUUAGCGGCGGACGGGUGAGUAACACGUGGAUAACCUACCUAUAAGACUGGGAUAACUUCGGGAAACCGGAGCUAAUACCGGAUAAUAUAUUGAACCGCAUGGUUCAAUAGUGAAAGACGGUUUUGCUGUCACUUAUAGAUGGAUCCGCGCCGCAUUAGCUAGUUGGUAAGGUAACGGCUUACCAAGGCGACGAUGCGUAGCCGACCUGAGAGGGUGAUCGGCCACACUGGAACUGAGACACGGUCCAGACUCCUACGGGAGGCAGCAGUAGGGAAUCUUCCGCAAUGGGCGAAAGCCUGACGGAGCAACGCCGCGUGAGUGAUGAAGGUCUUCGGAUCGUAAAACUCUGUUAUUCGGGAAGAACAAAUGUGUAAGUACCUAUGCACGUCUUGACGGUACCUAAUCAGAAAGCCACGGCUAACUACGUG
rnacentral:rRNA from 1 species